CUCACACACCCAGGCACAUACUAAGCAUUUUGGGUAACAUAAGAAUAUAUUAAACUCAGCCCUUGUCUUCCAUCAGCUUUCAAUCUAGUUGCAAGUUCCUGGGAAAUACUUCAGUCUUGACACCAAAGAAAUCUCAUGCCAGAAAUUUCUUCCAGUACCAAUUAAAAAUAUUUUUCCUCAAGUUCCCUGAGGCCAAAGUAUACAAGGUCUGCAAAUUACCUGAUUACAGAAAUGAGAUCUAGCAUAAGCAUUGCAAAGAAAAUCUCAAGAUUACCAACCAAAGCAUUUUAAAAAAUCUAACAUCCCUCCCUAGUGGUACCAAGAGAUAUACAAGAAGUCAGUGGGGAAAAAAAAACAUCAUCCUUCUCCUGAUUCCAUAUAUUUCCUUGUCAGAGCUGCCUAACCUUUGCUUUCCAGGCAGCCAAUGUGCUUAGACUGGAAAAGCCGAGAUGAUGUCAAAGAUCUUCUCAAGGUCUAGGUAAUUUUUGUUUCUCAUUUGCUGGAGCCCCAGUAUUUCUAAAGAUAUACAGAUUUGCAUUGUCUAAUUUUUAAAAAAUGGCUUUGUUCUCAAUGUUAACCAGGAAGAAAUUUCUGACAGUGUUGGAAGCCUGGAACUUACUGGAUCAAUGAGAAGGGACUUCUGGCUUCUCAGUCAGACAAGGAUCAGUAGAAACUGAGCCAUGGAAGCCCACCAAAACCACAAAACAUUAACACUGCUGCUCUGCUUCCAUCCCUGCUACAGAAGCCAUUUGAAGCAUUUUUUUUUUAUACAGCUCUCAACUUGUGGAAGAGUUAUAGGAACUAUGUGAGGACUAUGUAUUAGUACAUGAAAGUUGGGAGGGGACUUUCACUUUGGAACACCUAUGACAAGGAUCUUUUCGCUAAACUGAAUGUGUCAGUUUCUUACAGCAUUGCUUUCUAGAGGCAAAGAGAACAACAAAGGUACAAUUGGAUUGUAGUUCACAUUUAUUAGUCUUAAUACUAAACACAAUUAAGUUGCCAGUAAAAUGGUUGCCAGUAAAAGAGUAUUCUCUAUAAUGCCAGUAGUUAUUUAUGUCUGCCAUAUGAACUGAACUGGAAGUACAUUGGCAAAUAAAAGUCAUGACAACAGUCUUAAAAAAAAUAAU
rnacentral:lncRNA from 12 species